CCGAAAGGGUGGCCGGUCAUCGGCACCAUCCCUCUCUUGGGGAACAUGCCCCAUGUAGCGCUGGCCAAAAUGGCCAAGAAGUACGGGCCGGUGAUGUACCUGAAAAUGGGCACGUGCGGCAUGGUCGUGGCGUCGACCCCUGACGCCGCCCGGGCUUUCUUGAAAACCCUAGACAUCAACUUCUCCAAUAGGCCCCCGAAUGCGGGCGCGACCCACUUGGCCUAUGACGCGCAGGACAUGGUCUUCGCUGACUAUGGCCCGAGGUGGAAGUUACUUAGGAAGCUGAGCAAUUUGCACAUGCUCGGAGGGAAGGCCCUCGAGGACUGGGCUCGCGUCCGAACGUCCGAGCUAGGGUACAUGCUUCAAGCCAUGUGCGAGUGCAGCAAGCGAGGCGAGCCGGUGGUGGUGCCGGAGAUGUUGACCUAUGCCAUGGCGAACAUGAUAGGGCAAGUCAUUUUGAGCCGAAGGGUGUUCGUGACGAAGGGCUCCGAGUCUAACGAAUUCAAGGACAUGGUGGUAGAGCUGAUGACAAGCGCAGGUAUAGCAGUCGAAAGACAUUUGAAAUAAAAACAUAAAUACGCUUAGCUAUCACGCGAGUUGUUAAUUGCUCGAAUAUAAGGCAGGCUCACGAAAGUUACCCUAAUUCCCUUACUUGAUGUAGGGAUCUUUAACAUCGGCGACUUCAUCCCGUCAGUUGCGUGGAUGGACUUACAAGGGAUCGAAGGUGGAAUGAAGCGCUUGCACAAGAAAUUCGACGGGCUUUUGACGAAGAUGAUCGAGCAACACUCGGCAACUGCUCACGAGCGUAAAGGAAACCGGGAUUUUCUCGAUGUUGUCAUGGCUAACCGAGAUAACUCUGGGGACGAGAAGCUUAGUUUGACCAACAUUAAGGCUCUUCUCUUGGUAUAUACAUGUCUAAGUGAAUCGAACAAAAUCUAUCAUGUCGAUUCUUGGCUUCUUCAUCAACUUGUGACGUUGAUAAGUACUGAUCUCGUUAUCUCUUUUUUCUAGAAUUUGUUCACUGCGGGCACUGAUACUUCAUCGAGCAUAAUCGAGUGGUCGCUGGCCGAGAUGUUGAAGAAGCCCAGCAUCCUCAAGCGAGCCCACGAAGAGAUGGACCGAGUCAUCGGGCGGCACCGACGCCUUGAGGAAUCCGACCUCCCGAAGCUCCCGUACUUGCAGGCCAUAUGCAAGGAGAGCUUCCGAAAACAUCCAUCGACACCACUAAACCUACCGAGAGUCUCGACCGAGGCGUGCCAAGUGAACGGCUACUACAUCCCCAAGAACACGAGGCUGAGCGUGAACAUAUGGGCGAUCGGGCGGGACCCGGACGUUUGGGAGAACCCUCUGGACUUCACCCCGGAGCGGUUCCUGAGCGGGAGGAACGCAAGGAUUGACCCCCGCGGGAACGACUUCGAGCUUAUCCCGUUCGGGGCGGGGCGGAGGAUCUGCGCCGGGACGAGGAUCGGGAUCAUGCUGGUCGAGUACAUACUGGGGACGUUUAUUCACUCGUUCGACUGGAAGCUGCCGGACGGCGUGGAUAAGCUGAACAUGGACGAGGCAUUCGGCCUGGCGUUGCAAAAGGCCGUGCCCCUCUCGGCCGUCGUCACCCCACGGCUCUCCGUUAGCGCGUACGCAUCUUAGAGCUUCACGCAAAAAGCUCUCCCACUACGAGAAUCCGACACUGUCGUCGUCCUUGGAGAACUUACUAGACUCGUGAUGGGUCACUAGAUGGGGUCUUCGCUCCUCUUUCGGUGUAUUUUCUUUCUUUAUGUAAUUUGAAUAAUCGACUGUUGUCAUAUUGUGAUAACCUGAAUUUAGUAUAUAAUAUUCGCUCGUGCUCCGCGUUGAUUAUAUAAAACUUUGUUAUAUGUAUAUCUUUGUUGUGGUAAUGGAAGUUCACUAGCAAUGAUAAAAGUGGCGUUGCCAUUAUUUACUAAUCCCGUAACAUAUAAUUUAAAUUAGUUUUUUUUUUUUUUGGCUCUUUAGAGAUAAUGGUUUAGUUGAAAUUAGUAGGGUCACUUUGCUAAUGCGAUGGAUGACUCACCUCCUUUUUUUGCUCGCUUGUUUAUGUAUGGUAAAAUGCAAUUUAUCACGGAACAUGCCUCUUCGGAAGCGGAAAGGCUACGCAAUACUUCCCUCGAUGCCUCCACGCGGGAAGCGCACGUCGCGGGAAGGAACCGUCGCGUGAUAAAGGACGGUCACUUGUCUUGUUUGGCGAGCUUGUAACUUAUCAGAAGUAAGAAACCUACACGGGUCCGAUUACUUGCUGUGCUUGAUGUGUGAGGAGCAAUGUUUUGCUUCCCCCGUCUUAGUUUCAUCCAUAAAGAAUACAUUCAUCCAAUUAAUGAGAGAGAAUCACAAAAAAAAAGUCAUAAUUUUACGGUGGGGUUGGAUUUAUUUUAAUGAAAUAGUAAAUCUUUUCCCAUAUCGCAAAUUGUGGUUGGGUCGAACUUAUUUCUUUCGAAGAAAUAAACGGGAUAGAGAAUGAUUGUCUUAUGGGCACUAAUUGGGUAAAGUCCAAUCAAUACUCGAUCCCUCCUAAGUGUUUCAUAAGGUAUAGCUAGGAUUUAGCCACGGGUUAUGUGUGCAAAUAUGUAUUGCUAAAGUAUAUAUAUAUAUAUAUAUAUAUAUAUAAAGGUAAGCACAAUAAUUAAUAUGCAAACGGUGCUUCAAUUUCAUUCAUAUAAACUCUCGUUCCUUCUCGUUCCUUAUACCACCCUAUAAAACAAACAUGUCAACAAACAUUUCAUUCCUUAUGACUCCCGACUUGCACCUAACAUUAGUAGACUUACCUCACAUUCACGAAUAUGCCACCUUACAACCACAUUAGUUAACACACAAUUAACUUUAUUAGGCCUAAGUUCAAAAUUCUCAAGUAGAGUCGCCACACUAUCAUGACCUACUUCUUGAGGGGAAUAGGUUUAAGGGUACUUAUUUACAAAGUGUGGACUUUCUCAAGUCCAUAUCUCAUGUAACAUUUGUUUCCCAAUUUAUUUGUUCAAAAUGAGCUGCCACUAGCCAUUGUUGAGAGUCGACUAGAAACCUUAAUCAAGACAUGGGAGUAUUAUCUUGAUGGAUGCAGCAAUCGAAGAUUUUGGGUUCGGGGACUUAAUUAUAUUGGCUAUACAACUAGUGCUGUUUUGGUAUCUAAACUGGAUUACGUGCUAAUCAAAGUGUAAUGUAGCCUAUCGAAGAAUUUGGAAUUCAUCCCAACCAUUCUAAAAUUGAAAAUAACAAUCAAUUUACGAGGUGCAAUCAAGUAUAAUCUAGGGUUCAUCCUGAACGUUAUUUGAAUUUUUUUAUUUUCAUGAAUUUUCUAAUUUUUUUUUAUUUAAUUAUUUUUAAUUAAAAAAAAAGGGACUUCGGACCAAGUCAAUGGACCUAGUUUGAAUCGUCGGUUUGACCCAAACCCUAUCAAUCCCGGUUGGGUCAGAAGUUGGACCAGGUCCUAAGGCCUGGUCCAAAUUUGCUAGGGCUAAAUCAACCAAAUUGGGUCUAUUUUCGCUUUGUCUAGAUCAAUUCGCACAUCCGGCCUUACCUUCAGCCCACUCGCAGCCUCCGGCCUAUUUCUCUUUUUUUUUUAUUUAUUGUUUUUGGCCCAGCCCACUUUCUUCGUAUGCUCGGCCCAGCAACGAACCCGCGACCUCAAACCCGGUCAACCGAAUCCGACCCACCCUCCACCUCCGGCAAUCUUGGCCAGAGUUCAGUCCGUCGCUAAGCCACCAUCCUUCGCUGGUCCUCCACUUCGAUCGCCAUCAAGCCACUGCUGCUGCUGCCGUCGCCGUUACCACUAGGUCAUCGGCCAAGGAUCACAUUUUCAUACAAAAUGCUAGAAUUUUUUUCUAAUUCAUUUGUAGGUUUCAACCAAAUAUUGAAAAAAUAUUAUCAAUUUCCAUAAAUAUUAUUAUUUUUGUGAAAUAAAUGAAGCUAUAAUUAUUUUUUUAAAAUUCUAAUAAUCAUCCAUUAACUUUGUAAUUGUAUGAAAGUGUUUUAAUAAUAUACAUAAAUUUUUUUUUUAAAAUCAUGAGAAAUACGUUUUUCUAAAUUUGGAUAAAUAUGGAAGUGUUUUAAUAUUAUGGAUCGAGUCAAAUACGAGUCAAUGAAUUUACAUUAUGAAUAAAUAGUCAUAAGCGAGUUAAGGGUCAAUUUGGAUUGAAUUAUUUAUGGCCUCGUCUGACUUGACCCACCCAUUCCAACGCAACAAGAAAAACGGCAAGGCCAAGCCAUAGGCAGUCCCCAAACAACGUCAAGCUUGAAAUCACAGCAAAUUGGUAAGAUUAACAACACAUCGAUUCAGCCCCGAACAAAGAGCGUGAACGCGGAUCAAACUUAAACGUUUCAUUCAGCAGUUGGGGCUGGGGCCCACUGGCUAAAAUAAAAGGACCACGAAAUGGCUGACACUCAAGCUCGUGCCGAGACUCAUGAAAACAUACAAAAACACAGGGACAAGACACAAGGACGAUGUGAGAUGGAGUUCACAUGAGCCGGACGGCCCGGAGCUCCGGCCCGGCGUGCCCAAAACAGGGCAAGAGCAGAGUUGGGACUGACCUGCUCAGCUUGAGGACGUCAUCGGGAGAGGUCGUUGGACGGGGUUCGCGUGUGGCUGAGAUGUCGGCCGGGGCUCACUCGUUCUCGGUCUCUCUACUCGCCCUCUCGGCUUCAGAUUUCUCUCCGAAGAACCCCCCUUGGCUCCACAUCUCCGAACAGGGUACAUCCAAAACGAGAACACCCCCUCACUCGAACGAAUUCUAGAAGGUCUUGGAUUGGCUCACCUCACCCCCGUUCACUCACUGUCACGUGCCCGCUCAUACGAAACUCACCUAAUGUUUUCUCCUCUCCUUGCGUCAUUCGGUCAACUUCUUCCCGUCAGGGUCAUUCCCUUCACAGCCGUGAGCGUAGGCAAGGGAGAGAAAACAAAGGGGCCAGGCUUUCUCUUAUUUAUUCACUAGGGCUCAGUCAUGGGCUCAAAGAGAAAAAGGAAAAUUGGGCCUAAAGAGCUCCUUCAAGAGAAAUGGGUUGGAUACGCCGAAAUUUUUGCUAAAAGAAUGGGCUAGACAAAACCGGCCCGCUCGAUUUUUAUUACACUUUUUGCCAUUUUUUAUUAACAGCAUACGGAUGCCAAUUUCUAAAUCUUAAAUUCAUCAAUUUAAUCAUAAAAUUUUUGAUGAUUUAUCAAUGUAAUUUUCCGAACAAUUCCGUCCGAUAAUCGUUGGUAUGGACGCCAAGCCUCUUAGGUGACACAACAGACGCUAAUGUAGAUGAUUUUUUCGUUAAAUCUAAACUUUGCUUCUUCUUUUUUAAUUUCUUUCAUUUUUUUAAUGUUUUUUUCUUCCUUUACCAAUCGCCAUGGCCAACAAGAUUGUCCUCAUCAGAUUUGGCAGAGUCUAGUGAGCUUCAAUAGAGGUUGAUGCUCACCUAUUGCUAGUUGCCAGCCAUUGCCACGGCUUAACGGAUAGUGAAAGAAGGGAAAAGAAGAAGAAGAAGAGAGAAACAAAAGAAGGAAAAGAAACAAGAGAAAAAAAAUAGAAAAAUUAAAAAAAAAAUGCAAAAGAAUCAUUCACGUAGCUGGCCACGACACAUAGAAUAGCUAACGUUCAUGGCAAUGAUUGCUAAUCAAAUUUGACCAAACUAACUACAUUAACAAAUUAUCGAAAAGGAUUAGGAUUAGAUUAGCCAAAUUAAAAAGUUUAUAAUCGAAUUUGCAUCCAUACAAUAAUUUAUAAACUUUUUAGGUUAUCUCUCCAAAAAAAAAAUGAGAAUAAUCAUUGUCUAAAUCAACAUUCAGGGAGUCAAAAGUUGUUAAAAUGACAAGUACGGACAUUGCAAAUAAAAUCCAAGUGAAGACCUGGAAGAAAAAAAAAUCUCGAGAACACGACAUCCAAUUCACAAGAAUAGGAUGAACCAUUCAUGUCUGUAGGAACAUAGGUUUUUAUUCGAGAGAUACGCCAUGUAAAAAAUCAUCGCACGAACAAGAUUGAAGUGUCAAUAUAAAAAAAAGAAAAAAGAAAAAAGAAAAAAAAAGAGCCUCAUUCUAGAUAUGCGUUUUCAUUCCAUGAUAAUUAGCGUGGGUAAGUAUUACAUAAUACUAUAUACAUGUUGAUGCUCGAAUAUUCUUUCAAUCAUAAAUUUUUUACACCAUCCGCGUACCAAAUGAAAAUCCUAAAAAUCUUAUUAAAUGUAUAUCGUAUAAAAUUUUUACAUCAUCUGCAUGCCGAAUAGAAAUCCUAAGUAUCUCAUUAAAUGCAUCGUGACCGCGGGCGUGAGUGCGUCGAGUCAUAAUAAAGAUUGGAUAUUUCAUCCGAAUGAUUGACAUGCAUAGCUAACUAGCCUUCGUCGUUUCUUAACCUUUGAAGACCUCUCUGUUCCUUUUCUUCUUUUGUAUCUGUUUUAGAUUCUAGCGAGGAUAAGAAAUCCACGCAACAGAGAAAUGAUAAUGUUGUUAAGCACGUGAUUGGCAGGGGCAGGUGACUUUGCCAACGCCAGAUGGUUCCGGAUGAGGAUUGGGGGACAUAUUCAAACCCUUCGACUUACCAUCGUGCGUCGCUGUCUUGAAUAAUUGAAGGCGAAGAUUAAUCAUCGAUUUGACUUAACCUCGGCUUCCUGGCUCCAUAGCCUGCCAGAUUGAAGUUUACAUUUCAAUUCGCGGUCCAAAUAUUUAAUUACCCGAAGGGCGAAAUUGAGAUUUUCACUACAGGAUUUAUGCGCAUAAUUUACUUUCGAAAGCAUCGUUAUGUGAUAAGUAUAUGUACCUAAUGGCCAACUCAAUCAUGAACGUUAUCUAAUCAACCCGUCAUUUCUUUAUAUUCGUUCGCUGAUUUUAAUCACAAUCCGAUAUACUUACAACAAACACAGGGUAAAGUUCUAAAUUUGUAAAUCCGUUAAUUAUUUCAUAUCAUCAGACUUAACAAUUUCACAGUAAAAUUUAAUAAAAACUAACAAAUGAUAAAUUUGAGACAAGCGUACCAACUUGAGAUUUUUAGUUAAUUAAAAAACUAAUUUUGGAUAAAUUUGUUACAGAUGCACUAUUUUUUUCGGUAGUAUUAACUCAAUACAUAUAUAUAUAUGUGUGUGAAGGAGUAAAUUUUAGAUAAAUUUCAAUAAAUGGAAGUGUGUCCGCCAUGAACAUUUACGAUGAUAUUGUACACUCUAUUCAACGACUGAGGAAUAGAGAUGGAUGAGAUUUUUGUUGAGGUUGUCUCACUUUAGUUGUGGAAGGAGUAGGUGGUCUAUUUAGAAGCGUAAAAGAGGCUUGAGACCACUCAACAUAGUAUUAGAGCACAGAUUUACCAACAAGUCUGGACACGAGAGAGUUAUGAAUUAUUAUGACUUUGAUUUAAGAUGAGAUUGUGGAAGAGACAUAUGAUUAGCUUUUAAGUGUGAGGGAAAAUCUCUCCUCUUAAAUUAAUUUUUUUAGUGAAGGGAGGGCCAACACCACCCAAUACUUUUGAAAAUGAAAUCAUUCACGGACGAAUGCAUUCGUAUCCGGGGAGGACGAUGGAUGACACUUACAGCGUCUCUCUCCCUCCUCUCAUUUCGAGUGGGGGAGUAGGUUAUCAUAACGUUGCCAAGUGCUGGCAUCAUACACUAUCUACACUCUGCUCCGUAAAAAGUUCUAUUUGUCUACGUCAUAUCACGUGACGGGGACCAUAUCUUUUAUGCAUCGAUGAUCCCAUAAUUCUUCACGGAGAAUGGUAGAUCUCGAGGAGCUCAAGGAGAAAAGAAAGCACUGCUGCCCUUCAAAACAUUCUCUGCAAAAUUGAGACAGUGGUUUGGUGGGAAAUCUCGUGCCCCGUUGCAUUCGAGCUACCCAGAUCGUACAUGCGUUUUCAUCGGUCUAUAUAACAGGCAGCAUACAACACACUAAGAAGUGCCCGCGCUCUUCACGAAAUAUUGGAUCGUAUCCCAGCACUUGCAGCGCAUAGAUGGCGAUUCUCGCCGACAAAGUCCUGCUCCGAGAGAUCGCCUCCGCGGCUCUCCUCUUCCUCAUUACCCGAUUCUUUGUCAGCUCUCUCCUGCUUCGCUUGAACUCCUUUAAGCUCCCGCCUGGCCCGAAAGGGUGGCCGGUCAUCGGCGCCAUCCCUCUCUUGGGGAACAUGCCCCAUGUAGCGCUGGCCAAAAUGGCCAAGAAGUACGGGCCGGUGAUGCACCUGAAAAUGGGCACGUGCGGCAUGGUCGUGGCGUCGACCCCUGACGCCGCCCGGGCUUUCUUGAAAACCCUAGACAUCAACUUCUCCAAUAGGCCCCCGA
rnacentral:lncRNA from 1 species